AACGAACGCUGGCGGCAUGCCUAACACAUGCAAGUCGAACGAGACCUUCGGGCCUAGUGGCGCACGGGUGCGUAACGCGUGGGAACCUGCCCUUAGGUUCGGAAUAACUCCCCGUAAGGGGUGCUAAUACCGGAUAAUGUCUUCGGACCAAAGAUGUAUCGCCUUUGGAUGGGCCCGCGUUGGAUUAGCUAGUUGGUAGGGUAAAAGCCUACCAAGGCGACGAUCCAUAGCUGGUCUGAGAGGAUGAUCAGCCACACUGGGACUGAGACACGGCCCAGACUCCUACGGGAGGCAGCAGAGGAGAAUAUUAGACGAUGGGCGAAAGCCUGAUCCAGCAAUGCCGCGUGAGUGAUGAAGGCCUUAGGGUUGUGAAGCUCUUUUACCCGGGAUGAUAAUGACAGUACCGGGAGAAUAAGCUCCGGCUAACUCCGUG
rnacentral:rRNA from 1 species